rnacentral:rRNA from 1 species
CAGCAGCCGCGGUAAUACGUAGGGCGCAAGCGUUGUCCGGAAUUAUUGGGCGUAAAGAGCUCGUAGGCGGUCUGUCGCGUCUGGUGUGAAAUCCCGAGGCUCAACCUCGGGCUUGCAUCGGGUACGGGCAGACUAGAGUGCGGUAGGGGAGACUGGAAUUCCUGGUGUAGCGGUGGAAUGCGCAGAUAUCAGGAGGAACACCGAUGGCGAAGGCAGGUCUCUGGGCCGCAACUGACGCUGAGGAGCGAAAGCAUGGGGAGCGAACAGGAUUAGAUACCCCCGUAGUCCCUGUCUCUUAAAA